ensembl:lncRNA
UGAUGUCCGAGGGGUUUCCGGUAUGUAGAGGUUGCAGACAGGGGUGUCCCCUAUCACCAUUAUUGUUUACAUUAUUUAUUGAACAUUUGGCAGAAUCUAUCAGGACUAACCCUGAUGUAACCGGGAUCAUAGUCAAUGGAAAAAGCAUGUCAUCUCUUUGGUUGCAGAUGAUGUCCUCAUGUAUUUGGAGAACCUACAGACGUCUCCGGGAAAGAGGGAGGAGCUUCAAGAGCUCAAGCUCCGGCAAUAAUGCAACCAAGAAAAAGGCGGAGCAGAAAAAAAAAACAGGUGGUGGUCCUGCACCCCCACAUUAUACCCCAGCAGAAGAGUUGGCCCUUGGGUUAAAUGUGAGCCGACCCAUUGUGGAGGGCAUCCCUGGGGGCACCUCUUCCUUAGACCAAAAUGCAGGGACCAGUAAGAGCAACACCUUCAUUACUGUUUUACAUAAUACACCAACACUUUUACCUGUUCCCAACAAAGUGGUGGCUGAAAUAUGUGCAGACAGUAAAGAAACCCUCUCAGAUGACUGUCCUUUGGAGGAAGUACUUGCAAAAGAUGACCAUCAAUGGCUUCUAUUGACAUAAUCAUUGAAAUAACACUCAAGAAACUCUGCCACUAGGGUGGUCCAAGUGCACUGGCUGGAGAUCAUCAUCAGGCUGCAACUCCACCACAGGGGUCCUCUCCUUUCUGAUGGUGGCAAUAUUGUGGAGUACUGCACAUGCAACAAUAAUGUCACAGGCCCUGUCAGGUGCAACCCUUCAGACACUGAAAUCUUUCCUUUAGUUGCCCAAAGGUCAUUUCACAAUGCGUGCCCUUGUCCUGGUUAGAGCUGCAUUGAAACGGGUUUGUGGUCCGGGGUUUGGGUCAGGGAAUGGCAUCAUAAAAUACUACCUGCAGGCAUAACCCCUGUCACCAAGCAGGAUCCCGUCGUAAGCACC